GCAUUAAAAAGCCCUGGGCCACCACAGGUCUCCCAUUACCUCCAGCAGCAAUUGAGAGAACGUGUGUUCCUCACUCCUUCAGCUGAAGGCAUUAACCGCCUCCAUUAAAAUGCAAAUGUCAACACCUGGGAGAGCGGCAGAUCGAGCUAUUAUCAGCCAUUUCCUACUCAGCUACAAUCUGAGCUCUUUGAAUGUUUCCCUGUUCCCUGAGGCCCAGAGGUCUGGAGAGAUCCUAGUGGGGAUGGGCUGGAGCGGAAAAACCUCCGAGGAUGACCUACCUUCAAGAUGCCCAUGCCGUCCUGUUAGCUUUUCUCUGACUCGGGGAUGUCAGUUCUUCGAAGGAAAGGUAAGUUAUCGAGUUUGCGGCAUGGGAUUGCUCUCAGAAUGCCAAUAUCAGGGGAG
rnacentral:lncRNA from 1 species